rnacentral:rRNA from 1 species
CGACGAUCAGUAGCUGGUCUGAGAGGACGACCAGCCACACUGGAACUGAGACACGGUCCAGACUCCUACGGGAGGCAGCAGUGGGGAAUUUUGGACAAUGGGCGCAAGCCUGAUCCAGCCAUUCCGCGUGAGUGAAGAAGGCCUUCGGGUUGUAAAGCUCUUUCGCAAGGGAAGAAAACUUACUUUCUAAUAAAGAGUGAGGCUGACGGUACCUUGAUAAGAAGCACCGGCUAACUACGUGCCAGCAGCCGCGGUAAUACGUAGGGUGCGAGCGUUAAUCGGAAUUACUGGGCGUAAAGCGUGCGCAGGCGGUUUGGCAAGUCAGAUGUGAAAUCCCCGAGCUCAACUUGGGAACUGCGUUUGAAACUGCCAGACUAGAAUAUGUCAGAGGGGGGUAGAAUUCCACGUGUAGCAGUGAAAUGCGUAGAGAUGUGGAGGAAUACCAAUGGCGAAGGCAGCCCCCUGGGAUAAUAUUGACGCUCAUGCACGAAAGCGUGGGGAGCAAACAGGAGUAGAUACCCUGGUAGUCCACGCCCUAAACGAUGUCUACUAGUUGUUGGUGGAGUAAAAUACAUGAGUAACGCAGCUAACGCGUGAAGUAGACCGCCUGGGGAGUACGGUCGCAAGAUUAAAACUCAAAGGAAUUGACGGGGGCCCGCACACGCGGUGGAUUAUGUGGAUUAAUUCGAUGCAACGCGAAAAACCUUACCUGGCCUUGACAUGCCACUAACGAAGCAGAGAUGCAUUAGGUGCCCGAAAGGGAAAGUGGACACAGGUGCUGCAUGGCUGUCGUCAGCUCGUGUCGUGAGAUGUUGGGUUAAGUCCCGCAACGAGCGCAACCCCCGCCAUUAAUUGCCAUCAUUUAGUUGGGCACUUUAAUGGGACUGCCGGUGACAAACCGGAGGAAGGUGGGGAGGACGUCAAGUCCUCAUGGCCCUUAUGGCCAGGGCUUCACACGUAAUACAAUGGUCGGUACAGAGAGUUGCCAAGCCGCGAGGUGGAGCUAAUCUCAGAAAGCCGAUCGUAGUCCGGAUUGUUCUCUGCAACUCGAGAGCAUGAAGUCGGAAUCGCUAGUAAUCGCGGAUCAGCAUGUUGCG